AUUGAACGCUGGCGGCAUGCCUUACACAUGCAAGUCGAACGGCAGCACGGGAGCAAUCCUGGUGGCGAGUGGCGAACGGGUGAGUAAUAUAUCGGAACGUGCCCAGUCGUGGGGGAUAACGUAGCGAAAGCUACGCUAAUACCGCAUACGAUCUACGGAUGAAAGCGGGGGAUCGCAAGACCUCGCGCGAUUGGAGCGGCCGAUAUCAGAUUAGCUAGUUGGUGGGGUAAAAGCUCACCAAGGCGACGAUCUGUAGCUGGUCUGAGAGGACGACCAGCCACACUGGAACUGAGACACGGUCCAGACUCCUACGGGAGGCAGCAGUGGGGAAUUUUGGACAAUGGGCGCAAGCCUGAUCCAGCAAUGCCGCGUGCAGGAUGAAGGCCUUCGGGUUGUAAACUGCUUUGUACGGAAUGAAACGGUGAGCUCUAAUAAAGACUUGCUAAUGACGGUACCGUAAGAAUAAGCACCGGCUAACU
rnacentral:rRNA from 1 species